GAUUGUCGCACGACGCUCUUGAAUUACCUCGAGUGGUAAUGGAAUUUUUAAUUAGUGAAAAUGUUUCUGCCGAACCGAAGUCAAUGAAUAAGUAAUUUUUAUCAUGAUUUCGUUUUAUUUACGAUAUCCUCUGCAUAAUGUACAGUAUCAAUUAGCGAUUCGAAACUGAGAAAUGUAAAUCACGCCGAGAUUCUUGUUCGAUGAGAAUUCUGUGAAUCAUUUUGCAAAUGUUUGACGAAUUAAAUAACAAAAUCUAUUAAUAGAUUGCACCUGUUCAUGCGUUAGGUCUAGGUUAGGGAAUUCCUGCUGUUACACGUGGAUUGAACGCUAAUAAUAACGUUACACCGAGAGAAAGAAAGAAAGAGAGAAACAGAUGAGAAAGGAGAAAACAACGGCAGAGUAAAUUUUCAAUCCAUCAAAUUGCAGCGUUAAUUGGGGCAAGGAAAAAUCGAAGGAGUAAUCGAUAAGGAGCAAUACGAUAUCAGGGGUGAUAUGAAUAUCGACUCGAAAUGCUUUCUACUGGAUGACAGAACCGGAGCCAUGUACUCCGAAACAAAGAAUAGAAUAUUUUUACAAAUAUUGGUAAACGCUGGAGGAGAAAAUAGGAGAACCAAUUUUGCAUUGAUCGUCAAACAAUCUAGAUAAUUUGCGGGAUCGAAUGUAGCCAAGUCAACGAUACAAUUCUCGACGUUAUUUUUUUUUGAAAAU